rnacentral:rRNA from 1 species
UACGAAGGGGGCUAGCGUUGCUCGGAAUCACUGGGCGUAAAGCGCACGUAGGCGGAUCGAUCAGUCAGGGGUGAAAUCCCAGGGCUCAACCCUGGAACUGCCUUUGAUACUGUCGAUCUGGAGUAUGGAAGAGGUGAGUGGAAUUCCGAGUGUAGAGGUGAAAUUCGUAGAUAUUCGGAGGAACACCAGUGGCGAAGGCGGCUCACUGGUCCAUUACUGACGCUGAGGUGCGAAAGCGUGGGGAGCGAACAGG